CCUACGGGGGGCUGCAGUGGGGAAUAUUGCACAAUGGGGGAAACCCUGAUGCAGCAACGCCGCGUGAGCGAUGAAGGCUUUCGGGUCGUAAAGCUAUGUCCUAAGGGAAGAAUACUGACGGUACCUUAGGAGGAAGCCACGGCUAACUACGUGCCAGCAGUCGCGGUAUUACGUAGGGGGCUAGCGUUAUCCGGAAUUACUGGGCGUGAAGGGUGCGUUGGCGGCCCUUCAAGUCAGUGGUUAAAGGCUACGGCUCAACCGUAGUAAGCCUUUGAAACUGUAGGGCUUGAGUGCAGGCGAGGAAAGUGGAGUUCCCAGUGUAGCGGUGAAAUGCGUAGAUAUUGGGAGGAACACCAGUUGCGAAGGCGGCUCUCUGGACUGUAACUGACGCUGAGGCACGAAAGCGUGGGGAGCGAACAGGAUUAGAUACCCUAUUAGUC
rnacentral:rRNA from 1 species